UACGUAGGGUGCGAGCGUUGUCCGGAAUUACUGGGCGUAAAGAGCUCGUAGGUGGUUUGUCGCGUUGUCCGUGAAAACUCACAACUCAAUUGUGGGCGUGCGGGCGAUACGGGCAGGACUAGAGUUCGGUAGGGGAGUCUGGAAUUCCUGGUGUAGCGGUGAAAUGCGCAGAUAUCAGGAGGAACACCGGUGGCGAAGGCGGGACUCUGGGCCGAUACUGACGCUGAGGAGCGAAAGCGUGGGGAGCGAACAGG
rnacentral:rRNA from 1 species